rnacentral:lncRNA from 1 species
GAAAAUUUCAAGAAGUGAAAAUCCAACAGAAAAUAUUUGAACCCAGGAAUAAAAGAGAAGGCUUGAAGACUGAAGGAUAUUCACCACAGGUGAAAUCCCUCUCAGCAGCUGGCUUAUGAAAUAAUGUGAAGGGAGGCCUUAAUGAGCAGAACGCACCCUCAGCUGGAGAUAAAUAUAUGCAAAUGAGAUGCACAAACAAAGGAGCCUGGACAGAGAAAUAUCUGCAAUUCCAGCAAAAUGCUGCCUGCAGCUCGAAGAUGAACAGCUUUGAUAAAAUGUGAGAAAUAUUCCCCACGUGUGCUGAUGCCUCAGACACACCAAUCUGCAACAAGCAACUAGGGUAAAAAAUAGUUAAAAGUGCAUCAACAUUUAUCUGGAAUAUACAGUCCUGACCCCCUUACGCACUCCCCCCC